rnacentral:lncRNA from 1 species
AUUAUCGAGAAAGACAUAGUGGCUAUGACGUUGGCUUGAAACCAUUCAACUGCAGAUACUUCUCGUUUUGAUGCGAAUGCUUCUCAAAUAAUGAUUAUUAAUAUUACUGCUGUUAGCGAGAUGAAUGAGCCUAUUGAGGAAAUAGUAUUUCAUGCUGUAUAUGCGUCAGGAUAAUCAGAGUAUCGUCGAGGUAUUCCGGAUAGCCCUAGGAAAUGUUGUGGGAAGAAGGUUAUAUUUACUCCUACGAAUAUAAUUACAAAGUGGACUUUUGCCCAUGCUUGGUUGAGUGUGUAUCCAGAGAAUAGGGGAAAUCAGUGAACGAAGCCUCCUAUAAUGGCAAAUACUGCUCCUAUAGAUAACACAUAAUGGAAGUGUGCAACUACAUAAUAUGUAUCGUGCAGUACAAUAUCUAAGGAUGAAUUGGCUAGUACAAUGCCUGUUAGACCUGCUAUGGUGAAUAGGAAAAUGAAGCCUAGGGCUCAUAGUAUUGCAGGUGACUUGAUAUUGCCGCCGUGAAGGGUAGCUAAUCAGCUAAAUACUUUUACUCCAGUUGGAAUAGCAAUAAUUAUUGUAGCGGAUGUACAGUAUGCUCGGGUGUCCACGUCUAUUCCUACGGUAAAUAUGUGGUGAGCCAAUGCGAUAAAUCCUAAAAAUCCAAUGGACAUUAUGGCUCAUACUAUGCCUAUAUACCCAAAUGGUUCUUUUUUACCUGAGUAAUAAGUUACAAUGUGGGAGAUUAUUCCAAAUCCUGGCAAGAUGAGAAUAUAUACUUCUGGGUGUCCGAAAAAUCAAAAUAGAUGUUGAUAAAGGAUUGGGUCUCCACCACCUGCUGGGUCAAAGAAAGUUGUAUUUAGGUUGCGGUCUGUUAGUAGCAUAGUAAUGCCAGCUGCUAAGACUGGCAGGGAUAAUAGAAGUAACACAGCUGUGAUUAGUACUGAUCAGACGAAUAGGGGUGUUUGGUAUUGGGACAUUGCAGGGGGUUUUAUGUUAAUAAUUGUGGUAAUAAAAUUAAUAGCCCCUAGAAUUGAUGACACUCCUGCAAGGUGUAGGGAGAAAAUUGUUAGAUCAACUGAGGCUCCUGCAUGAGCUAAAUUUCCAGCUAGAGGUGGAUAUACGGUUCACCCAGUACCUGCUCCAGCUUCUACUAUUGAGGAUGCUAAUAGCAGUAGGAAAGAUGGUGGAAGUAGUCAGAAACUUAUAUUAUUCAUAUGUGGGAAGGCUAUAUCGGGUGCUCCAAUUAUUAAUGGUACAAGCCAAUUGCCAAAACCUCCAAUCAUAAUGGGUAUUACUAUAAAAAAGAUUAUUACGAAGGCAUGGGCUGUAACAAUUACAUUAUAAAUUUGGUCGUCGCCAAGUAAGGUUCUGGGCUGACCUAAUUCAGCGCGAAUUAGUAGGCUUAAGGCGGUACCUACCAUUCCUGCUCAGGCACCCAAUAGUAG